rnacentral:rRNA from 1 species
AGAACGAACGCUGGCGGCAGGCUUAACACAUGCAAGUCGAACGCCCGUAGCAAUACGGGAGUGGCAGACGGGUGAGUAACGCGUGGGAACGUACCCUUCGGUUCGGAAUAACUCGGGGAAACUCGUGCUAAUACCGGAUACGUCCGCAAGGAGAAAGAUUUAUCGCCGAAGGAUCGGCCCGCGUCGGAUUAGCUAGUUGGCGGGGUAAUGGCCCACCAAGGCAACGAUCCGUAGCUGGUCUGAGAGGAUGAUCAGCCACACUGGGACUGAGACACGGCCCAGACUCCUACGGGAGGCAGCAGUGGGGAAUAUUGGACAAUGGGCGCAAGCCUGAUCCAGCCAUGCCGCGUGAGUGAAGAAGGCCUUAGGGUUGUAAAGCUCUUUCAGCGGGGAAGAUAAUGACGGUACCGCAGAAGAAGCCCCGGCUAACUUCGUGCCAGCAGCCGC